UCCCCCCCCCCCCCCCCCCAUUUCCCAAUCAUACACCCCUUUACCCCUCCACACACAAUAUUCAAGAGUAAGGAUUGUAUUUUGAGCUAUGCAGUCACCUCUAUAUACACUAUGCAGAUGCAUGUAAAUCAGGACAGAAAUAUUAAAAAAAAAUAAAAUUUAAGUAUGUUAUAGUAGAUGUUUGAUUUUUAGUAUACGGUUUGUUUUUUUCCAGUUCCAAGAUAGCAAAUCCCCCCCCCCCCCCCCCCCCCCCCCCCCCCCGCCAAAAACAGGAGUACUUCCCAGGACAGGGGAGGGACUUCAGGUGGAAAAUGUCAGGGGUUAGGGGUGUGGGACCUGUGGUCCCAAAAUGGCAACCAGGGGCAGGGCUACACAUGUGGCCCUCAACAGCUCACCUCAACGUGUUAAGCAGCCCUCCAGCCGAAAUAAUUGCCUACCCCGGCCCUAAAGGAAUAAAAUCUAAGAGCAGAAGGAAUUUUCUGCAUUCAAGCUUAAAACAUAAUCAGGCAUGGAAAGAAGCAAACUAGGACUCUCUGUGUUGGAUCUAGAGACAACCUGAGAGGGACUGCAUUAUGGUGCAGAGUAGGAGCAUCUUAGAUGAGGCUGUACUUCCCUUUCCAUUGUAAGGCCUAUUUUGUUUCUGCCUCCCUCACAGCUUACGCAUGUAUAUCAACUCUACCAAAAAUUAAUCAGGCUGCCUUGCUACUGGUGUUGUGGAUUCCCUAGAAAAUUUGAGUUUCCACAGUUUGAGGCCAGUUAGGCAGGGAGUUUGCAAGAGACAGGAGCUAAAUUAAAGAAUACAUUGACUGCUGGGAGAUUCAUUGGUUUGAUCUCCCCCCUCAUUGCCAAGUGCUUUAAGAGAUACCUAACACUUCUGUUUUUUUGCUUCAUAGCUCAAGAACAGCUUGACCUAGAAACUCCUCAUUUGUUUUGCUGAGCUUGCCUUGUACAGAAGGAGGGACUUUCAGCAUCGUCAGGGGCUAAUGCUCUGGGCCCAGUUCCAGUGCCCUUCAUGUGAAGCGAGGUACCUAACAAAUGGUCCCAUUGACUUGCAAGGGACUAAUGUGAUAGAAUGAUAUUGCUUGGUCUGAGAAAGGGGAGGAGCAGCUGUGCAUUAGCAAAGCAGAGAAGCAAGCACAGUAGGAUGCUUAACUGGUCAUGUGGCACAUGUGGAGUCUGGUAGAGUUGCUAUGCUGUAGUGUAAGUCUUCCAUAGUAGCUAUUCUGUGAGGUGUACUUUACAGGGUCCCACAAUGCAUCUCUUCUACAGCCUGCCAUGUGGCUAAUGUGCCACCUGGUCCUUAUGCUAUGUGUAGCCAUGGAUAGCCACUUUAAUAUUUUUAACAAGAUUCUGUUUUUGUUCUAGCUAUUGAAUGAGACUUAUCUGGUUAAAACCAUAUCACAGGUGUUCAGGAAAGACAUUCCCUUUUUAGAUUACCAUAACUUGUGUCAGGCUCUUAGGCAGUUUUACAAAACUUUAUAUAAACAGCUAAGGAAAUACAUAGGCCAAAACAAAACAUCCACACAAAAAAAAAAUUAGCUAAUGGGGCUUUAGACUUAUAAAUAGCCAUUGUUUGACACCCUGAAAAAGACUAUUGUAGAUUUCUCAAAAGCCAGCUACAGGCCAGGAGAUCCACAGCGAAGAUUAUACUUAAGGAAAAAUAACAGAGCUCAGGAAGUGUAGCAGUGCAAUUGAAUCAGAUGGGAAUGACGAGCACAAUUAAGAAUUCAGGCCGUUCUCUAAUGUGGAGUAGCACUCAAAAUGGAAAGGAAUUCAGGCAAAUGUGGCCACCUGUGGACCCCCAUGGGGAAGAGCAGAGGUGGUUACUUUGCAAGAUCUGGACUCCUUUAAUAGCAUAGGAUUCAAAUUGGCCAGUUUCUUGGUGGUGUAAGUACACCACUAACUUUGCAUGUGACAUCUAUUUUCUCUUCAGUUCUGACUCCUGCAGCUUGAACUCAGCUGUUCCAAUCCCCCUGUUUUCGGUUAUGUUCUCAGUUUUUUACAAUAAACGUUAAUAGCUUACAUGUAUCUGGUGCUUGUCAUGCAAAGAAGUUAAGAGUGGUUAAACCAUAAGAAAGGCCACUGGCCCCAUGUUUUCUUAUAGCUGAUGUGUUCAUCCUAUCUUAAGGAACAGACUGAACAUGACUCUGCAAUUCAUGAAGGCAAGACUUGCCUUCAUAAACACCCAGGGCCAGAUGCAGAAAAGUAUUUAGGCACCUCAGUAUCUUUUUGGAUCCAGUUAAUGCCAAGAACAGAAGUUAAUAUAAAGUAAAAAGCUGGCUGUUAUCAUUUAGUUCCAAGCCACCCACUCAGGGGAAGACUGAGGACUCCAUUCUGCUUUAUCUUGCCUCUUUGUGUUUAUGCUUCACCCCCAUGCAAUAUGAAUUCACAGUGGGCUGAAAUGCUGCCAUUUCUCACCCACUUUGUACAGGGAUGGAUGAUUGCUUAGAGCAAGUGGCAGAGCAUUGGGACCAGUGUAAAUAACUCAGGUCCUUCCAUUAAAAAUGCCCUACUCGAGGUGUGCUAAUGAAGGAAGGGACUGUAAGGAAAGGAGCUCUCUAACAGGGAAGGAGACCGGGAGUGAGAUGAGCAGCUGAGAGAGCAGUAUCCACACAAGAUGGUGAACAGUUUCUGGGAUAUCUCGGUGUUUGAGAGAUGGAUCAAAAGGGUUGUACAUAGCCUGUCCUUCCCUCACAUGUUCCCAGUUAUGUGAAACCUCAGCCUUUGCAGCUUGCUUUAAGAGCAGUUAACAAGAAUCAGGUGGUGCCCCAGAGUAACAGGUUCAUAGCACAAGUUGGGUGAGCAGUAGUUUUCCAACAUGACAUUCCAGAAGCCACCAAACCUUUAGGAAGGAUGGUGUUACCCAUAAGCCACCUUCACUGCAAGGAGAGAAGAACACAACCUAAAGCUUUACUUGGAGAAGGGGUGACACCAUCAAUUAGAUUCUGGUGAGUAUUCAUUUCUCUGGCUGCAAUCUCAGUAAUGCAACCAAUAACACGAACACCUACCUGAAUGUUCUGGUAGAGAUCUAGGUUGCUAAACUGGAUUCUUAACAUAGUAUGCAAGCACUUCCAUGGAUGAUGGAGUUAACAUUAACAUUCAAUUACUCAAUAACUAAAAGAUGGGAGCAAGUUCAGGUCAUGUCUGUUUGCUUGUAUGAAAGGAUCACUUUAUGCAGAGCUCCUUUUUACCUGUUCAGUUUGAACACUUAUUGAAUGUAAGUAUCCAGUACAGCAAACCCCACAGAUCAGAUGUGUGUAUGAAAGCAAAAUCUCCAUUUCAGAAAGGAAACACCAAGUUCUGUUUAGCAUUUCAGCAUUGAGGCAGAUCAACCCCUUUAUAAGUGGCUCCAGCUGGCGCUGUCAUGCACUGCAACAUUCCUUACCUUCAGUGAAGUGGUGUGCAGAAAAGUAAGAAAUGCUGUCCUGUCUUUGAAAAAAAAAUCAGAGUAGCAGCUCCUAACCUGACCCUUAAAACAGAAUUGUAGCUGAGGAAUCUACACGAGGGUUGAGUACAUCAGCACCAAAAGUCAAUAGCUUUUGGAAAUGAUUUUUUGAACCAGGUAGCUGAAUAAGUAAUUAAAAAAAAAAAAAAGAGCAAACUGAAUUCUACUGUGUGCUGUCACCAUAUCUGUUCUUCCUUACUGAUUCCAUCGUUAGUUUGAUCAAGGGUUCUCAGUUGCCACACAGAAAAAUAUCCAGAGUAUUUUCCCAGGGAGACUUUUUGAGAUCUGAUGUUUAAAAAUAAUAAAAAGGUGAAGAGGGAAAAGAAUAUAACAUAAACGAGAGCAGGAUAGCAAUGCAGAAUAGUUUACUUCUAGCUAAAUAUCUUACGGGAAUAAAAAGGGGUUUAUAAGUAUCUGGGAAAGAAGAAAAGCAGCCCUACUAAUAAUAAGAGAGAGAGAUUUUGUGUGUGUGUGUGUGUGUGUGUGUGUGAAUCAAGGUUCCAAGAUAUUUGAGAUACUAAUGUAUUUUUAUCUGUGUUUAACGAACAAAUAAAGCAGAAGUCUGGAGAACUAGGAAGUAAUUAAGAUUUAUUAAAUAGCUUUUGUCUGUCCUUGAACUUUACCGUCCUCUUCUGAGUCUCUUAAAAAAACACUGAGCACCCAUGCUAAGAACUCUUAGAUAUAUUUAUGCAUGCAAGCAUCCUUAGUGAACUCUCUGUGAUCGUUCACCUGUAUAAAGUUACUCCAUGUUUGCAGAAUCAGAGACAUAGUUAGCAUUUAAUUAAAAAGAACCCAGAUAAGAUACCUUGGCAAAAGUUAACAAAUACAAUAUGCAGCAGAUUGGCUGCAAUGCAUUUGAGCUAAUGCCCUUAACUACCAGAUAAGGGUUUUUGAUAAGUCACUGAGGUCUUGAAGCCAAGUCCAGCAAAUGAAUCUAUCCAGGCAUAUUCCUAAACCUUACAACCACAUGUCAGUGGGACUCCAAGCAGGUGUGUUGCUAGUUGUAGGCUUGGAUCAUCAGAGAAGUGCAAAAGAACUGGAUUAAAGCAAACACAGCUUUGUUCUCUGACAAAGAAAAGGAAAUUGAAACUGGCUAAUCAAUCAUUACAAUUUUUAUUCUCAGUAAAACUAUGAAACUACUAUUAACUAAAGUAUUGUUAUGGCAGGCCUCACCAGGUAUUGCUCCCAAGUUUUUUUCUAAGUGUACAAGCAAAUAGUUAUUUUGGGAAGACAUACUGUGUUGUUAAUUAUAUUGUGCAAGAUUCAUGUAGAGGCAGCAGUCUUGGGACAGAUAGCUGUGCAAGGCAUAGAACUGUUUUUGCUUUGCUCUUGUCUCUGAUUGAAAUAAUUUCUUGAGGCAGACUUGCCCCUUGGGAUCCAGGCACUGGGUUUUGACUGGGAGUCUGGGAGGAAGGACGUGAUUGAACCUUAGUCACAUUCAAGAAUGGUGUAUGUAUGUAGAUCUGGCAAACCUUACUUGUACACAUGGUACAGGUAGUAAUAUGUAUAGGUUGCAUAACACUUUACUAAGUAGAAAGGAAGAUGCAUUUAAAUCUACCCAAAUUCCAUAUCACCAAUUUCUCCUUUACUGGAAACCAACCUAUAUGGCCCAGCCACCGCUGCUGCUCAGUAGAAGGUAAUACUCCUGCAGGAAGAAAGGACAACAUCAAAACAGGUGGAGGAAAUGGUUAAUGCAGAACAUACCAUAGCAGACAAACUUGAUCCUUUGUGUUUUAUAUGUAUUGAGCAAAAAGAUAGUAACAAUUUUAAUAUGUGUUGGCAAUUAAGUAUUAAGUGUCUCAAAAUACUUGAAAAAUUAAAACAGGCAAGGCUGUAAACAGUGUCAUGUGAAUUGAGAACUGUUUCAAUAACCCUAAAAAGCCAUGAUAAAUGACUACUGAACAUUACAUAGGGUACCAUGGUCUAAGUGAGUGCCAGAGAGACAGGCGUUAAAUCUACCUUCUUAAUCUUUGCUAACGAUUUAGGAGAGUGUAAACAGCAUGUUAAUGAAGUCAUGUAAAAUAAAUCCUCCAAGUUGUAGCAGUGGCCAAAAGGCAGCACAAUUCAAGUGCACUAAGUUGAAGUAAUCAAAAAAAAAAAAUCGUGUAUAGUUUUCAGUAGGAAAGUACAGUUGCACUGAAAUCCCAUUGUUAUGGUGGAAUGAGACAAUCUGGAUAGAGCUUUUGACAGGAGAAUGUUUAAAAUGAAUUAUUUUUAUUGUUUUAUUAUGCUUAUUUCUUACUGUAUUUUAACAUGGAACAAAACACUGGAAUGUUUCCAAAUCAAAACUGUCCAGAAUUUCCAUUGCCCCAAAACAGUCAAAAUGUUGCCUCUUCAUUCCAAUUUGGGAUGAAAACAGAUUUUAGAAUGUUUUCUUCCCCAUAGAUUCGAAUUCAUGGUUUCCAACCCAGUGAAAGGUAAAGGAUGAAGCUUAAGGGACACUGUUAACAAAUUAAAGCUGAACCUCUGUCUUCAGUCACCAUGCAGUUCUGCUUUUAGGCUGGCACCCUUAGAAUGGAAGGGAGUUUGAUACAGGGCUUCCUUUUGAGCGGCUUGCACAGGAGUUCAGAAUCAGGAUCAGGAUAGUCAAACUCAGUGCUUCAGAGGUUAAGUUGCCCCUUGUACUUCUGACACAAUGCACAAGAGUUACUGGCUAGUAAAGAGAGAGCGGACAAGAAUAUGCAGCUCGUCUAUCUGGAGUGAUAGUAACUAACGAGCAGCUCUGGAAUCUCAACAUCACAUGGGCAUGUGCCUACAUGCAUACAUGUGCACUUACAACUGCAAGUUCUGUCUCCCCCUUACCUUGGUUCAGUUAUGAUCUGGCAUGUGCACUUGGAAUUUGCAAAGAUGCUUUAAAGCUACAGUGGGCAUCACCCAUGCUCAGCAGCUACAAAACUAACUGUCUCUCUGAACUGAUCUUGAAUAGGAGCUCUUCUUAGAGGAGUCAGUUUUUACUUCAGUGGAAAAAGACCAGGUGGUAUAGUUCAGUGGAUACUCAUUUGGGAGCUGGAGAUGUAAAAAUGGAUAAGAAACAGUAAACUGAUUUUACCUUUGCAUAACUAACCAAUUGCAGGGGGGAAAUAAUCUGGUAUACACAUAUUCAAUGACAUCUAGAAAGGAGAGAUCUCUGAGUGUGGGCGGUCAACACAUUAGGAGCUGCCAGUAUGAUAGGGCAGCAAAAGUCAUCACUUGUCUUCCAUCCAGAAUCUUAGAAGGAAUAUGAUAUACUGAAACCAGACAUGGAAGAGCAAGUGAGUCCCCAGCAUAUGCUGAAGAACGGUAAUCAGAGUUCCCAGGAAAUGGACCCUUGAGAGCUGUGUGCUAAGGAAGCUGUUUGUAGCCCACAAUUUCAGUAACAUCAUUGGUCUUACAAACUCUGCAGCAAUAUUACAUAUUCUCAAGUGCUAGUAGAUGUCUCUGUUUACGUUAGGUAACUGCACAUAUUCACAUAUACAACAAUAACUCUCUUGUGUACAACUCCCAUAACACCCUCUUGAGUCCCCUUGAAGUUAAAUCCCCUUCACUGAGUCCUCUUCUAGCGUAUAAAUUUUAACAAGCACAGGCAUGUUGUCAUCUAUUAAAAAAGCACUGUCUACUUAAAAAGCCAUACUUCUCUUCAAAUAUUUAAUCUGCUAUUACAAGUAAUACUUGAUAGCACCAUACAUUAGAAAGAUUAUAGGAAAGUAGCACACAUCACAUCCAUGUGACAUUUUACAUGGUUUUCUGUUGAAGAGGUCAGACCCACUGUUGUGUGUCUUGCUUUUUAGGUAAAAUAUAUAUUGUGGCAGAAGCUAUCCAGGGACAAGCUAGGUCUGUAUCAUAUUUGCUACCUACAUAGGCAGCUGCUCUAGCUGGCUGCUAAACUUUAGAAAACACUGGGUGAAUCUACACAAGACACUUCACUACACAUUAGACUAACGUGCAUUAAAGCAUCACCAUCUACACGUGCAGCAAUUACUGCACAGUAUAUUAGUCUAAUGUGCCAUUUUCUAGUACCUGUGAAAGGUACUAGACCCGUCCUGAUUUCCACGUCGCUGGGAGAGCUGUUCCAGCUGCUGGGCAGCUGCCUCCCUGUCCUAUGGAGAUUGGGGAGGGUCCGGAUCUCCACAUGGCUGGCAGGCAGUGUCCUGCUGAGCCAGGACAGCUCUCCCUGCCCCAUGGAGGUUGGGAUAGGUCCUGAUCUCCACGUGGCUGGAAGGCAACAUCCUGCCAAGCUGGGACAGCUCUCUCCUGCUUAGCAGAGAUUAGGACCUGCCCCUGUUGCCCCCUGCCAGCCUGGAGCUGGCACCCAGGGGAGCCUGGAGCUCCCCCUGGCUACUGCAGGGGGGCAAAGCAGGGCAGGAGCAGCCCUAGACUGAACUCCUGUUGAUAUCAAAUUUGCUCUCGACAGAUACACGUGUUCAGAUGCAUAUGGGAGCAGUUUAAUGCGCCUGCAUUUUCUGCUCAGAAAAUUCAGGUACACUAACUGUAUGUGUAGAUGUGUCUACUGAACACCACUAGAGAGUUCAUACACUAUUUAAGAAAGCUACACAAUUCCUAUAUAUUACAUGCUCCUUCAAAUGUCAAAAGGACAUUUGAAAGGUUACAAAUGCAUUACUAUCACUCACUACACAGCCGCAAAAAAGAGGCUGCUCCUCAGUUGGACAGAGAUGUUAGUGCAUUCAGGAGGGCAGGCAUAUGUUAUUUGUUUAUUAAAAAUGGGUAGAACGCUAUACCUUUGCACUGUGUUAUCCAGAGAUGAGAAUCACAUUGCUAUCCCUGCCCUGAAAAUGCACUAUCUAAACAUAGAACAAGAAGACGAACACAAGGAAAAUGGGAAUGGGAUGGGUAGGGAUUGGAACAAGCAAUAAUAAUACGAGUUCUAUUAAUAUCACUGAAGCUCCAAGUUUAUAUACUCUGAGUCAUCAUGCCUUGAUUAAAGAGUUUCCCUAGGAAAACAUUCAUUUAUAGGAUGAUGUUUAGGGAAGCUCUGAUGUUUUGAGGAGCCUGGAGUGUAGUGCUGUAUUUCCACCCCAAGUGUGAAAACUUCAGGAGUUAACACCCCUCAAAUUUAAAAAUUACAAAAUGUAAAGUAUUAAUAACAAGGAUCUUCAGUGUUGGGUUCUUUCUACUUGUGUUCUGGCUUCUGAGCCUUUUGGGUUCUCUUGGGUCACAUUUUCAAGCUUUUCUCCAAAUUAAGAAAAAUAAAUAUGGCUAAAAAGUUA